AGACGUCUACAUUAGAUACCCGCGUAGUCCCAGCCGUAAACUAUGCGCGUUAGGUGUAUCGGUGACCACGAGUCACCGAGGUGCCGAAGGGAAACCGUGAAACGUGCCGCCUGGGAAGUACGGUCGCAAGGCUAGAAACUUAAAGGAAUUGGCGGGGAGCACCACAACGGGUGGAGCCUGCGGUUUAAUUGGACUCAACGCCGGGAAGCUCACCGGAUAAGACAGCGGAAUGAUUGCCGGGCUGAAGACUCUGCAUGACUAGCUG
rnacentral:rRNA from 1 species